rnacentral:rRNA from 1 species
GACAGAGGGUGCAAACGUUAUUCGGUAUCACUGGGCUUAAAGGGUGCGUAGGCGGCUUUGCAAGUUGGGUGUGAAAGCCCUCGGCUCAACCGAGGAAUUGCGCUCAAUACUGCCGAGCUCGAGAGAGACAGAGGUAAGCGGAACUAAUGGUGGAGCGGUGAAAUGCGUUGAUAUCAUUAGGAACACCGGUGGCGAAGGCGGCUUACUGGGUCUUUUCUGACGCUGAGGCACGAAAGCCAGGGGAGCGAACGGG